GCUCAGUGGUUAAGAGCACUGACUGCUCUUUCAGAGGGCCUGGGUUCAAUUCCCAG
rnacentral:tRNA from 1 species